CGAAAGCCUGAUCCAGCCAUGCCGCGUGCAGGAUGAAGGCCUUCGGGUUGUAAACUGCUUUUGUACGGAACGAAACGGUCUUUUCUAAUACAGAAGGCUAAUGACGGUACCGUAAGAAUAAGCACCGGCUAACUACGUGCCAGCAGCCGCGGUAAUACGUAGGGUGCAAGCGUUAAUCGGAAUUACUGGGCGUAAAGCGUGCGCAGGCGGUUAUGUAAGACAGUUGUGAAAUCCCCGGGCUCAACCUGGGAACUGCAUCUGUGACUGCAUAGCUAGAGUACGGUAGAGGGGGAUGGAAUUCCGCGUGUAGCAGUGAAAUGCGUAGAUAUGCGGAGGAACACCGAUGGCGAAGGCAAUCCCCUGGACCUGUACUGACGCUCAUGCACGAAAGCGUGGGGAGCAAACAGGAUUAGAUACCCUGGUAGUCCACGCCCUAAACGAUGUCAACUGGUUGUUGGGUCUUCACUGACUCAGUAACGAAGCUAACGCGUGAAGUUGACCGCCUGGGGAGUACGGCCGCAAGGUUG
rnacentral:rRNA from 1 species